AAAAAAAUAAAUCCUAGAUUUUCGUGUCCAACGUUUAACUGUCCGUCUUAUAUGAAAAAUUUUUAUAAUUAGUAUUUUCAUUGUUGUUAUAUGAUAAAAUAUGAUUAAUACUUUAUACGUAACUUGUCUUUUUAAUUUUUUUCAUAAUUUUUUCAAAUAAUAUGAUCAAACAUUGGACAUGAAAACUCAGGGUUUGUCUUUUU
rfam:Oryza sativa Japonica Group DNA, chromosome 3, cultivar: Nipponbare, complete sequence.